rnacentral:tRNA from 1 species
UUGUCUGUAGUCUAGUGGCAAAACGGCUCGUUUACACCGAGCAGUCCGCAGUUCGAUUCUCUUCGGAGCCA